CCCCCCCCCCCCUCUCUCUCUCUCUCUCUCUCUCGGUUUAUUCCUCUUCACCGCCGCACCCUCGCCUCUUCUCGUAAAAUGACAAAACAAAAAUAUACCCCAAUAUUCUAACUCCCCAGUCCAGUGCACUCCAUUACCGAAGCUUGGGCAUAGAACAAAUUGGUUUGGGCAAAAUAUAUCCCCAGUCCAGUGCACUCCAGUCCGGAUUCUGUAUAAUAGAAGGGCCAGAAACAGAGCAAGACUUUGUUGCAAUGGAAUUGCAGGCGAUCCAAGAUUGUAUUCAGUCUUCGGAACAAAAUUUUCUUGCAUAUGGAGGAGUUGAGGUAUAAACGGAAGCCAGGAACCUACUAAGGUAAGCAAGUCUGUAUUUAUUAAGUGGAAUUUUACUUGUUACAGAAUAGACCAGAUGAACUUGGCAUGGUACUAAAAUAGUGUUGUGCAGAAAUUAAUUACAGUUGAGAGAGAAAAACAUUAUCAUUACAAGGCAAAAUGGGUGAGAGUAGUAUAGAGAGAUACAUACCAUAACUCUUCAAACUUUGAUGGAAGAAGGGAAAGGCGCGUGGUGCUAUGUCAUGGGUGAAGUUCAUUGGCAUAGAUGUGGCUUCAUUUAUCACCUGAGAGCUCUCCUUCAAGUCUCCAAACAAAAUCCGGUUCGAAGGCUGAGAAUACAACAGAGGAUUAAAAGUGCAGAACUUGGGAUUUUAAAGGAAGCACAAGAGAAUGAACUUCCUAAUUUUCCAUCAUUCAUUCCAUUUUUGCCUCCUUUGGUGCGCUUUUUCGCAUAGGAGGAAGGAGAAUAUUACUCCGAUUGGCUCAAAGAUCUCGAAACACACUAAAGUGGAAGAUGCAAACCUAAAAGGGCCUCGAAGACCUCCAAAACAGAAUUGAUAUCCUACGAAAGCUGGCAGAAUAUGGACAGCUGCUCUUGACACACACAGUCUUGAAGAUGACCUGGAUUCUGGGAAACUUUAUAACAUUAUCCCCCUGACUAAUCAUAGCGUUGAGGCUGAUAUUACACGUGGAUCGUUACGUUCUCAGACUCUGCCGAAGCAGGAGGCAUCCACUGCAUCGUCAAAACGCACUAAACUCAAAGCAG